AACGAACGCUGGCGGCAGGCUUAACACAUGCAAGUCGAACGCAUCCUUCGGGGUGAGUGGCAGACGGGUGAGUAACGCGUGGGAACGUGCCCUUCAGUUCGGGAUAACCCAGGGAAACUUGGGCUAAUACCGGAUACGUGCGAGAGCAGAAAUAUUUAUCGCUGAAGGAUCGGCCCGCGUCUGAUUAGCUAGUUGGUGGGGUAAUGGCCCGCCAAGGCGACGAUCAGUAGCUGGUCUGAGAGGAUGAUCAGCCACAUUGGGACUGGGACACGGCCCAAACUCCUACGGGAGGCAGCAGUGGGGAAUAUUUGACAAUGGGCGCAAGCCUGAUCCAGCCAUGCCGCGUGAGUGAUGAAGGCCUUAGGGUUGUAAAGCUCUUUCGUCCGGGACGAUAAUGACGGUACCGGAAGAAGAAGCCCCGGCUAACUUCGUGCCAGCCGCCGCCGUAA
rnacentral:rRNA from 1 species